rnacentral:lncRNA from 1 species
CUUCGUUUUUCAUGUAAUGGCGGAUUGUUGCUGUACCGAUUAAUUCAAAAGAAGGAACGCGAAAGGAAGUAUUAGCCGUUCAAGUAGCCUACGAUCAACUUUUUCAUAAUCGACGUUUUGCUGAAUAAUGCAUCAUCCAGUUAAUACAGGUCACUAUCCCCAGUGUGGGCAUAUACUGCUUUUUUCCGAACAUGUUUUUCUACAAACAUUACAUUGCCACAGACAAAGAAAGCUAAAGGCCAUGGCCAUCUUCAGGUUUAUUGCAGCAUCUUCGGGGAAGUCACAUGAAAAGAUGAAGGGCACAUACCAACAGUUGCAUUUUUCUGAAUGUCUUACUCAAGUAUAGAUUCAACAUGAUUAACAUUUCAAAGUUAGUUAGAACUCUAACUCAGACACAGAUGACUGCUGCUGCUGCCUUACAGCCAAAGGGAGAGCUGUUGGAGUAAUCUUGUCUUCAAUUAUCCUCACUUGACUCAUUUCAUCUUCUAGCUAGCAUAGAGAAACCUGAUUGAUGUUAUCAAGCCAUUUAGAUAAUGACCAAGAAUAUGCGGCCUACAGACUGUGAACAUCAGACGGGAUCAGACUUCAGCAUCAGACUUCAGCAUCUCUAGUCUCUACGACAGAAACGUGCAGUGACAUUCUACAUUUUCUACGCGGAUCAUCUAUUGUUAUUGUUGGUAUGAGUGUUUUUUUAUUUAACCCGUUGGCUGCCACGCCUUUGUUCUCCCAUGUGUUAGCUCCUUAGCACGGGCCACACUGUUUGGUCUCUUGGUCUUAUGUGCCUUGGGAUCGAACAGUUGCACCUGCCCCAGAUUUGCCGAAAGGCCCUGCUAGGCAAUGCACCAUAGGGACUUCCCCCUUGUCGAUACGGUGAUGGAUUCUAGAGGUUGUGCAUUCCAUCUUCUCCUGUCACCGCGUGUCAGCCCGGACUUGUCAGCAAUGG